GCUUGUAACGAGACCCAGUUUAUUAAGUGUCAGAAGCUAGAUUUGAACUCGGGGGCUUCCUGAGAGAACAAACGGGAGAAGUAAGGUAGAUGACUCUUUUUAAGAAGGGAAGCUCUGAUGUUUACUUGCUGCUGAUAUGAUGUAUUCAGUCUUUUUGGGAAGGAUGAUGUGGAAAAUGUUAUCAGAGAACAAAGGAGGUUAUUAGUGCUGUUUGGUCUACGUCAGAGUAAGAGCUUGACUUAGGCUUAAUGUCUUCGAGUGAUUCUGGUAUGGAAUAGUCUCCAGUCCUCUACCCUUCAGACCUCCCCUCUCUGGACAUUCUCCACCUUCUUGGUGCCAUUCCCAAAAUGCCCACCACUGAACAGAAUCAAAUCAAGUGCUCUUUCAUACUUAUUUAUCCCAGGCAACUUGCCCCAGACAACAUCUCAAGACUACAAGCUUCAGUAAAAAUAAAAAAAAUUCUGGAAAUUCCCCCAGAGUGAUGAAACUACAGAUUUCUCUCUUCUACACCUGCAAAUCAACUUCCUAAUUCUAAACCUAACCCUAUGUGUC
rnacentral:lncRNA from 1 species